rnacentral:tRNA from 1 species
AGCGAGGUAGUAUAAAGGUACAAUGGACUUAUAGUCUGAAAGUGGGGAGUUAUUCCCCUCUCGCUG